ACACACACACAUUUUACAUGCAGAAAACGAGGCCUCUGUGUGUGCUGUGUUUUCUUCCUCUCUCUCUCUCUGCGCAGCUAAACUAAGGGAAAAUGUGCCAUGUUAUCAAGUCUGCAGAAACAGCUUCCUUUUAACGAAUCUCCUCAUUUUUGAGGACUCUCUUCUGAAAUUAAAAUCUUUACUCCUCUUCUCCCAGACCACUGAAGCAACAAAUACAAAUACACCCUUCAGCAGAAUCUUACAGAAAGGAUGUCUUUAUUUUGUAAAGGUUUUCCACCGUGAUUCCCAGCCAUCCCUGUCUAUUUAUAUUUCCUCAUUGUUGAGGCUUGUCAUGUCCAGUUAUGUCAGUCAUGUCACACCAUGUUACCAGUGCCAUGUGUACAGCAUUACAGCAUGGCAUCAGCCUGAGUCCGUUUAAAAAAAAAGGGGGGGGGGGGUGGGAGAGAGAAAUUAUGUUUCCAAACACUCCCCUACUCCACCUUUUCAAAUUCAAGAUCCAAGUGCCCAUUCCUUAAAUAUAGACAAAUUUUCGUCAUCUUGUCAGUAGAUGGCUUGCUUGCUUGCUUAAGAAUUAUCCUUUAACUUAACCUUUUGUCUAAAUUUCUUCUUAACAAUGUGUUGUUGUUGUGUGCUAAGCAUGCUUUUGAAGGAAUCAUGUGCGCAGAGGCCUUUACAUGAAACUUAACAUAAAGUUAACAUGAACCUUAGCCAAUGUGGGAACAUCCAUAGAGGAAGCAAGCAGCAACUGCACCAUUCAGAUUCAUGGAAAGCAAGUUUAAGAACCACACUAGGUAUUAAAAACAAAUCUCAAAAGACACUUUGUUUAUGGAAAAGCAACUUUGGGAGGAGAUGAUUUAUAGUUGAGAAUGGCUAGGGAAAGGGAAUGUUUAACAUCUAAGAUUAAUCCCAAUUUAUUAUGGCUAACAAAACCCGCCAGGGAAGGUAUGGGCAGGCGGUUGGAAGCUAUAAUCAAUGCUUCCUUAAGGGAGGGGAGGAUGCCAUUGUGUCUCAAGGAGACGGUGGUGAGACCACUUUUAAAAAAGCCCUCCUUGGAUCUCUCCAACCUGAACAAUAACAGACCUGUUUCGAACCUCUCCUUUUUGGGCAAGGUGACAGAGUAUGUGGUAGCGUCUCAAUCUGGCUUCCGACCUGGAUAUGGGACUGAAACUGCCAUAGCUUAGCCUAGUAGCUUACCUACGCAGGGAGCUUCACAGGGAGAGUGCAUCCUGCUUGUUCUGCUGGAGCAUUUGAUACCAUCGACCAUGUAUCCUUCUGGACCACCUCUCAAGUAUGGGGACUAGAGGCACUGCUUUCGAGUGGUUUCAGCCCUUUCUUGAAGGAAGGGUUGAGACGGUGGUGCUGCGGGACUGUUGCUCAGCUCCUUGGACUUUGGCAUGUGGGGAACAUUGGCUUGUGGGCCUGCAGGGUUCGAUCUAGUCCCCCAUACUGUUCAUCAUCUACAUGAAACUGCUGGGAGAGGUUAUCUGGGGACUUGGACUGCAAUAUGCAGAGGACACACAGUUCUAUCUCUUCUUAUCACCUGAUCCUAGGGAGGUAGUGGAUGACCUGAAUCAGGGCUUCAAAGCUGUGAUGGACUGGAGUGAGCUAGUAAACGGAGACUGGAUCCAGAAAAGAUAGAGGUGCUGUUGGUCACUAGGAGAGCCAAUCAGGAUGAAGGGAUGAAGGGAUUCGACCAGUUUUGGAUGGGGUUGCACUCCCCUUGAAAGAGCAAGUGUGCAGCUUGGGUGUACUGCUGGACCUGGUUCUGCUUUUGGAUGCUCAGGUGGAGGCAGUGGUCAAGGGUGAUUUUGCAGAACUUCAACUAGUGUGCCAGUUGCAGCCCUUUCUCAAGAAUACAGAUCUGGCCACAGUUUUACCCAUGCUUUAGUUACGUCAUGGCUGGAUUACUGUAACGCACUCUACAUGGGGCUGCCCUUGAAGAAUAUUCAGAAACUGCAGCUAGUGCAAAAUGUGACUGCUAGUAUUUUAACUGGAGCUCCCUGUUGGGAUCAUAUUACACCCAUUCUGAAAGAGCUGCACUGGCUACCAAUUUGUUUCCAGGUGUUGGUUUUGACCUUUAAAGCCCUUAACGGUUUGGGCCCUGGAUACCUGAAGGACCCCUGUUCCCAAUGGUUUCUGCCCACUUGACAAAAUCAUCGGAGGGGGCUCUGCUCUGUGUGUCAAUAGUGAAAAAGGCUUGGCUGUCGAGCACGUGGGACAGGGCCUUCUCAGUCACUGCCCCCAGGCUUUGGAAUACUCCCCCAGCUGGCAUCCACUCCUCAGCCUCCAUGACAAUUUUUAGGAAGCAAGUAAAGACGUGGCUCUUCACCUGGGCUUUUAAAUGAAAGUAUUGAUUCUAUGGAUGCGAUUGAAUGAUGGAAGUAGAAAUAUCAAUGGAAUGAUUGAAUAAAAAUAAUGCCAACAGGCAUCCAGACUCAACUAUGUGGAUGUGGACAAGCUGCUUGGAGCGGUGAGGCCUACCACCUGUUCUCUUGACCCUUGUCCAACAUGGCUUGUUCAAUCUAGCAGGGAGACUGUUGUAGUUGGCCUGGUGUAAAUUAUAACUGCCUCUCUGAGGGAAGGCAGGAUGCCUCUUUGUCUUAAGGAGGCAAUCAUUAGACCACUUCUAAAGAAGCCUUCAUUAGCCUUCAUUAGAGUUGAGCAAUUAUAGGCCUGUUUCCAACCUCCCAUGACUGGGCAAGGUAAUUGAGAGGGUGGUGGCCUCUCAGCUCCAGGCAGUCUUGGAGGAAACUGACUAUCUAGACCCAUUUCAAGCUGGGUUUUGGGCGGGCUAUGGGGUGGAGACUGCCUUGGUCGGCCUGAUGGAUGAUCUCCAAUUGGGAAUUGACAGAGGAAGUGUGACUCUGUUGUUCCUUUUGGAUCUCUCGGCAGCUUUCGAUACUAUCGACCAUAGUAUCCUUCUGGAACGUCUGAGAGUGUUGGGGGUGGGAGGCACUGUUUUACAGUAGUUCCGCUCCUACCUCUCAGACAGAUUCCAGAUGGUAUCGAUAGGAGAUUGUUGCUCUUUGAAAUCUGAGCUUAAGUAUGGUGUCCCUCAAGGCUCCAUACUUUCUCAAAUGCUUUUUAACAUCUACAUGAAACUGCUGGGAGGGAUCAUCAGAGGAUUUUGGAGCUGGGUGUUACCAGUACGCUGAUGACACCCAGAUCUACUUCUCCAUGUCAACUUCUUCAAGAGUUGGCAUAUCCUCCCUAAAUGCCUGCCUGGAAGCAGUAAUGGGCUGGAUGAGAGAGAAUAAACUGAAGCUGAAUCCAGAUAAGAUGGAGGUACUUAUUGUGCGGGAUCAGAACUCUAGAGACGAUUUUGAUCUACCUUUUCUAGAUGGGGUCACACUUCCCCAAAAGGAACAGGUUCACAGUCUGGGAGUACUUCUGGAUUCACACCUCUUCCUGGUUUCUCAGGUUUAGGCAGUGGCCAGGGGUGCUUUCUAUCAGCUUCGGCUGAUAUACCAGCUACUCCCGUUUCUUGAGAUCAAUGACCUCAAAACAGUGGUACAUUUGUUGGUAACCUCCAGACUUGACUUCUGUAAUGCGCUCUACGUGGGGCUGCCUUUGUACGUAGUCCGGAAACUUUAGUUGGUUCAGAAUGCAGCAGCCAGGUUGGUCUCUGGGUCAUCUCAAAGAGUCCACAUUACUCCUCUGUUGAUGGAGCUACACUGGCUGCCAAUAGGUUUCUGGGCAAUAUAAAAAGUGCUAGUUAUAACUUACAAAGCCCUAAAUAGCUUAGGCCCUGAGUAUCUAAGAGAACACCUUCUUUGCUAUGAACCCCACCGCCCAUUGACGUAACUUGAGGAGGUCCGUCUCCAGUUGCCGCCAACCCGUUUGGUGGCUACACAGAGACGGGCCUUCUCAGUUGCUGCCCCAAGACUAAGAUACGAGCCUCUCCAUCUCUGCCAAUUUUUUAAAAAACUUCUGAAAAUACAUCUCUUCAUCUAACCUUUCUCAGCUUUUUAAAACUUGUUUUUAAAUUGUUCUGGCUAUUUAAUUGUUGUUUUAUGAUGUUUUAAUUGUUAAUUAUUGUUUUAUGCUGUUUCAUAAUUUCUGUUUUAAUUGUUAAUUGAUUUUAAUGGUGUUUUAAUGUAAACCACCCUGAGCCUUUUGGAAGGGCGGUAUAAAAUUUUUAAUAAUAAAUAAAUAUAUUUAUUCAUUUAAUAUCUGUACUUUUGUACUUUUGUAUUUUAAUUGUGCAUUGUUUUAAUUAUACUGUAAACCACUUUGAGAUUAUUUU